UCCCUGGUGGUUCAGUGGUUAAAAUGCCAUGCUUCCAAUGCAGGGGGCAUGGGUUCAAACCCUGGUCAGGGAA
rnacentral:tRNA from 1 species